NNNNNNNNNNNNNNNNNNNNNNNNNNNNNNNNNNNNNNNNNNNNNNNNNNNNNNNNNNNNNNNNNNNGCAGGGGGCAGGGCGGGCGCCCCAGCGAAGCCCGAAGGACGCGCGCGCGAGGCCCUUUGUGGACUUCACGGCCGCCAACAUCUGGGCGCAGCGCGGGCCACCGCUGGCCGCCGCGCCGCCGCCGCCUCGCCUUGGGGACCGUAGGAGGCGCAGCCCCGAGGCCGGAGACUUCGUUUUGGGACGAGCCCCCAGGGACAGGAUGAAAUUGCUGACUUCCAGACUGCACGCUGGGCUCCUUCUGAAUCAGAAGCCCUGGGGAUCUUCCGGGAAGCUGCAUACUCAACAUCACUCCAGGUGACUCUCAGACCACUGCGUGCUGCCUUCGGGGAAGACAAGCCUGGAUCCUCCCCUCUUCCUGGGAUGGGGAAUUUCCUUCUUGAACCUUGACUAAGCCCAUCUGGGAAGUCAGCUGGGAGGGAAAGCCUGGGUUCACUGCCCGCACCCCGCCAGGCAAGCGACAAGCGCAGGCAAGUGCAGCCCUUCCCUCUCCUCCUGGGCUCCAGCCCCUGGGCCCUGGGCUUGAGACCAGGGGGCCCCAUGCGGGAGGAGUACGGUACUCCUUCUCCCCCCAGCCCCUGGUGUUGAGCCCUCACAGCUGCGCUGUGCUGGGAACAGGCCAGGCAUUUGUGAAAUCCUCGGGUGAGCCUGACCCACUGUCAUGAGGACUGCCUGUGGAAGCUGGUGCAGGGAGGGGGAUGGGGGGCUGUUCCCAGAAGCGGGGAGAACUCUGGACUUCCCACUCCUGAGUGCUCUGCAUUGCAGCACGGCCUUAAGCAACAGCAGUGGUCUGGAAGGCUGCACUGCAGAGAACCAGAGGCCCCAGGCUCUCUUCUGAAAAGAAACUAGGGCUCUGAAUGCUAAAACUUCCACGCACUCCUCCUUACCCGUCGCUGCUGCCACUCGCAGUGAAGACCGGGCCCAGCCUUAGAGAAAGGCGAACUCAAGGCUAGACUUACAAAAAGAAGAAGAAGGGGAAGAAGAUAACCAGAAUGCUAGUUUGUUAUGUACAUUAUACAAGAAAAUGUAUUUCCUUUUUUUUUUAAAUGAUUUUAUUUAUUCAUUUGAGACAGCGGGAGCACGAGCUAGUGCAGGGGAGCAGAGGGAGAGGGAGAAGGGGAGCCCAACACAGGGCUCGAUCCCAGGACCCCAUGAUCAGGACCAGUGCUUAACCCACUGAGCCACCCAGGUGCCCAAGAAAAUGUUUUUCCUUUCACUCCCUGCUCCCCAAAUCUCCACUCUUCCUUUGGAACAGAAAACCUUACGUAGUACCUAUAUCAUACAGCAUGUUAAAGACACGAAAUACAAAACCUGGUGAUUCAGGAGGCCGCCGUACUGCCCAACCGCGGGGAUGCUGUUCACAAUACACUCUUUGUGGUUGGGGUCCCAGAAAGUCAUGUGGUGGGGGGCUGCUGGGUUUGGGAAUUUUAGGGUACAUUAGCAGCGCCAGACCCUUGCCUUAACGACACUCCAGGGCAAACCCAAGGCUGGUAGGAACUGUGUUCUGGGUGCUGUGGCCAGGGCUGGAGAUCCAUGCCAACCAAGAAGCAUUUAGCCUUCGGGAUGCUUACAGUCUGAAAGGGGAACCAGACGUGAAAAGCAAGAAGUAUCCUAAAAAGGAGUGGGUGUAAAAAUAAAAUGUUAUACAGCCUACAGCGGGGGGGCCCCCAGGAGGAAAUGACCAACAUUGGUUUCCCAGAAGAGGGGCCACUGGUGAGACAAGGCAAAAACAGCAGUUGUCCCCUCCCGCAGGCAGGCGGUGUGGGACACAGGGC
ensembl:lincRNA